rnacentral:lncRNA from 1 species
AGGGGUGAUCAAAAAAAUUAUAAAAGAAGCAAGAAAAAAAAAUAAAAAUAAAAAAUUAUAAAAAAAUAAGGAUGAAGAUGAAAUUGCAUCGUUAACUGAAAAAAAAAAUUAUAAGUUGUAUUACUUAAAAUGUAAACUACAGCUUUAAGAUAAAAUUACACUUUUUAAACAAAUAUUACACUCUUUAGGAGAUAUUACACUGUUUCUCCUCUUAUUGCACUCUUUUAGAUGUAAACUACAUCCAUUAAGAUGAAAGUUACACUCUUUAAACGAAAAUUACACUGUUUCUCCUCUUGUUGCACCAUUUUUUCUCUUGUUACACUAUUUUUUAUCUUAAACUGCACUCAUUUAAGGGAUAUUUAUACUGUUUCUCCUCUUGUUGCACUGUUUUUUCUCUUGUUGCACUAUUUCUCCUCUUGUUACACUGUUUCUCCUCUUAAAGGGUGCAGUUUAAGAUAAAAAUAGUGUAACAAGAGGAGAAAUAGUGCAACAAAAGAAAAAACAGUGCAAUAUAAGGAAAAAAUAGUAUAAAUAUCUCUUAAAGGGGUGCAGUUUAAGAUAAAAAAUAGUAUAACAAGAGAAGAAAUGGUGCAACAAGAAUAGAAAUAGUGCAACUUUCGGUUAAAGAGUGUAAUUUUUAUCUUAGUGGGUGCAAUUUAUAUCUGAAAGAGUGCAACAAGGGGAGAAACAGUGUAAAUAUCUCCCAAAGAGUGUAAUUUUUAUUUAAAGAGUGUAAUUUUUAUCUUAAAGCUGUAUUUUACAUCUUAAGUAGUGCAACUUAUAAUUUUUUUUGCAAUUAACGAUAUAAUUUCAUCUUCAUCAUUCUUUUUCUAUAUUGUUUUAUCUUCACUUUUUUUUUUGCUUCUUUUAUAAUUUUUUUUGGUUACCCCUUUCCAGGGCGCCGGCGACGAUGCCGCUAAGAACCCCCCGCUCCGAGGCUGCAGCACCGCAGUGACCUCCACGGUGUCGGUGCCGGCGUCGGCGCCAGCGAAGAUGCAUCGUCGUCGGAAGCGACAGAGGAGGAGAGAGAGGGAGAGGACGAGAAGGGCGGAGAAGGGCAAGAGAAGCGUCGUCGUCGGAGACAGUAGAGGAGAGUAGAAGAGGAAAAAAAAAACAAGAGUCGCGACAUGGCCUCGGUAGGGUCGAAGGCGAGGAAGGUGCAGGGAUGUGCAGGCGAGGGUAAGGAUGCGCCGGCAUAUUGUUGGCGCCGGCGAAGAUGCUUCGUCGUCGGAGGCGGCAGAGAAGGAAAGAGAGGGAGAUGACGAGAAGGACAGGGAAGGGUGAAAGAGGCGUUGUCGUCGGAAACGGUGGAGGAGAGUCGGAGAGGAAAAAAAAAAUCGCAGUGCGGCCUCGGCAGGGUCGGAGAUGAGGAAGGUGCGGGGGUGUGCGGGCGAGGCCG